rnacentral:lncRNA from 1 species
AACAAUCCAGAGGCAGUUAGAAGGUGGCCAUGAGAGAGAGGGUCACAGUUGGUACGCAGACAGUUGGAGAGAGAUAGGUCAAGGCACAGACACCGGUCUCAUGAGCAGAACAGGGCAACUGGUCAGGAAUGCUGGUUUUGGCUUGGUAAGAGAUACUGAGGACAUUCCCACAAGAUCCGGACUAACACAAACCAAGGGGGAAGUCACCAACGUUAAGCCUCACAGCAGGGUGAGCUGAGCCCCUGUGUGCGGGGCUGCAAUGUAGAAAGAGCGCCCAGACAACUUUAUCACUAAUAAGGGGCAAGAAGAAACUGAAGAGGCAACUCAAGGGGCCGCUGAGAAUUCCACGAUGGGGCAAACUCAUUGAGACCUCGUUCGGAGAGCGCGGGGAGCAAGCAGAGAAGAGGCAUCAUGGCUUGUGCCCACGAGAAAUGCCAGGAAACGGCAGAUUUCUGUCCUCAGGGAAAGGCCUGGCAGCGUCUUGAGCAGGCAAAUCCAGGAGAGUAAGUUAAGUAAAUCCUGGAGCUGGUUCGCUAACGUCACCAGUCAGCCAGCAGAGCGCUGUGGAUCUACCAGCACAGGGUGGAGUGGAGGAGCUGACAGAGUCCCUGAGGCCUCGAUUGUUAUUCUUCCUAUGGGGUUGCAAACCCCUUCAGCUCCUUUAGUCCUUUCUCUAACUCCUCUAUUGGGGACACCGUGCUCAGUCCAAUGGUGGGCUGCAAGCAUCCACCUCUGUAUUUGUCAGGCUCUGGCAGGGCCUCUCAGGAGACAGCCAUAUCAGGCUCCUUUCAGCAUGCACUUCUUGCAUCCACAAUAGUUUGGUAACUGUAUAUGGGAUGAAUCCCCAGAUGGGACAAUCUCUAGGUGGCCUUCCCUUCAGUCUCUGCUGUACACAUUGUCUCCAAAUUUGAUCCCGUUUCAUUUUGUGCUCUGGCCGGCUGUAGCAAUCAACCGAGAAAGAUGGAAACACCAACCAACCUGCCUGAAGCACCUCUCUGCUCAGAUCUGAGGUUUCUGCAAGCUGUGGAUCACACUGUUCUUAUUGCAUCAAGGAAGAUAUCUGCUCUAAUAGAAACACAAUAGUUUAGAUAUGGGAAACAAAAGACAAUAUUUCCCUACUGCCACUUCUCAGCAUGUAUCUAAUUAGUCUCCCUUUGAUUGUAUGCUGUCAAACAAACUCAUCUGUCUUAUUAUCCUGCAAAUUUUCUUCCACUUUUAAUAAACAGUAAAUUUAUAUGUUUACCAAAGAGCUGUUUAAAAAUAAACCUUACAUUUCUAUUAAAUGUUUGCUUUGCGUGUCUUGUUUUUUGUGUGUAUAUUCAAGGU